UACGAAGGGAGCUAGCGUUGUUCGGAAUCACUGGGCGUAAAGCGCACGUAGGCGGAUUUGUCAGUCAGGGGUGAAAUCCCGGGGCUCAACCUCGGAACUGCCUUUGAUACAGCAAGUCUUGAGUUCGAGAGAGGUGGGUGGAAUUCCUAGUGUAGAGGUGAAAUUCGUAGAGAUCGGGAGGAACACCAGAGGCGAAGGCGGCGACCUGGACAAGUACUGACACUCAACUGCGAAAGCGUGGGGAGCAAACAGG
rnacentral:rRNA from 1 species